rnacentral:rRNA from 1 species
CCUACGGGCGGCAGCAGUGGGGAAUAUUGCACAAUGGGCGCAAGCCUGAUGCAGCCAUGCCGCGUGUGUGAAGAAGGCCUUCGGGUUGUAAAGCACUUUCAGCGGGGAGGAAGGCGUUAAGGUUAAUAACCUUGUCGAUUGACGUUACCCGCAGAAGAAGCACCGGCUAACUCCGUGCCAGCAGCCGCGGUAAUACGGAGGGUGCAAGCGUUAAUCGGAAUUACUGGGCGUAAAGCGCACGCAGGCGGUCUGUCAAGUCGGAUGUGAAAUCCCCGGGCUCAACCUGGGAACUGCAUUCGAAACUGGCAGGCUAGAGUCUUGUAGAGGGGGGUAGAAUUCCAGGUGUAGCGGCGAAAUGCGUAGAGAUCUGGAGGAAUACCGGUGGCGAAGGCGGCCCCCUGGACAAAGACUGACGCUCAGGUGCGAAAGCGUGGGGAGCAAACAGGAUUAGAUACCCGUGUAGUC